rnacentral:rRNA from 1 species
UACGUAGGGUGCGAGCGUUGUCCGGAAUUACUGGGCGUAAAGAGCUCGUAGGUGGUUUGUCGCGUUGUCCGUGAAAACUCACAGCUUAACUGUGGGCGUGCGGGCGAUACGGGCAGACUGGAGUGCGGUAGGGGAGAAUGGAAUUCCUGGUGUAGCGGUGGAAUGCGCGAUAUCAGGAGGAACACCGGUGGCGAAGGCGGGCUUCUGGCUAAUUACUGACGCUGAGGUGCGAAAGCUAGGGGAGCGAACGGG